GCGACUGUGCGCGGCACUGACGCGUCUCCACAGCGUUCAUUGGAGGAGGAGGCCUACGAACAGCUGGAGUGGGCUUUCAUGCGGCUGCGGCUUUCUAGCUUGCCUAACAUCAUGCACAGGGACUGGGCGCGACUUCGUCUCUCUCUCUCUACGCAACACAGAGCGGACCCUGUGCGGCAGCAUUGCGCACAAUGGUCUGCCGACGCGCGAGCUAUCUGGCAUGCACUUUACCACUGAGCACAUCGUCUCUCUGUUGUUGUUCCACGUAGCUUACCUGCAGUUGGUGCCGCAGCCCGUCACGGGCGAGGACGCGACCGUGCUUGGCUCAGUCUUCUGGUUCUCAACCGUCUACGCGAUGCUGCAGCACUACACUACCUUCUUCCUGGAGGAUUGCCGAUCGCCGGUGCGCCUCUUGGCGGCGUUGUGCGCUCUACCGUCUUUCAAGUCCGACAGCGACGCGCGCAGUGGGCCACACAGCCGCCCGCUCUUCCUCGGGGAGCCGAGACCACUACGCAGCAGACUUGUUAGCGGUGCUGCCGGUCAACAACGCGACGCCUGAACUUGAUGCCUUUCCGGUGCAGCGGGCUAUCACUCGCGCCUGUGUCUCGGUGCCUUGUGUGAAGGCAUUGGCGCAGUCAUGCGGCAAAGCAGGAACGCGCGAGACCUACGGGAGGGUCGCCUUCGGCGUGGAGCCGAAAAAGCUGCGAGCCGUCCGUCGGAUGCAGUCGAAUGUGGGGUGCGGCCAGGGAGGGCAGUACACCGGUCCUUUAUCAUCCCUUAGCCGCGGCUAGCCGUGCUUGAUGCCACCGUCGGCGGAGCAUUGUAAGCUCACUUCAGCCGCCCCUGGCUGCCUAGGAUUUGAGCGCAACAUGUUCGCCGGCGAGUCGUGAGACUACGCUACCGCUGCCUCUUGCGGGUUGUGAACAAGAGCCUGUACAGUAGUACUUCGUGUGGCCUCGUGUGGGGAAGAGACACGUACAGCUCCCCCUUGAAUGACCGUGCACAAGGAAUGGAGACACAUAUGUACAUGUCAGUGCUCCUGCGCGUCUAGAGGCAGCGGCGCAACGCGGGAGGCAGGCGGCAACACCUCGUGUGGUUUACCACGUGGGGUGGUGACAGUGUAUGGCGCUGUAUAUUCGAGCAGCUGUGCGCGCACUAACGCCCUAACGCGGAUCUCCGCUUCAGCCUUAACACCCUGCGCGCCACACCUCGAAGUGGGCCGCUUACCGUGGAAGAGGUGCACCGCGGCUGCUAUCCUUUUAUGCCGAAGCCGCCACAGGUUUACUGCGGCGCACCUACGAGUGAUUGCGGAGAGGGCAACCAUCGUCGGAUCCGGUGUCUCUCAACUUCACACCGCAGCCGCGGGCCGCCGCAGCGGCCUCUUACUUGGCCAUCGAGGUUUUUCCGUUUAUCGACGCGCCGCCGAGGUGACCGAGAGGGAGUGUGAGGUGACGCAGGCACCUGACAACGGCACUGCGUCUUGCAGGGUAACCGAAAGCGCGCUUUUUCACUCUACGGGAGUGGGUUACGGCCACUUGGGGAUGACAGAGUUUCUUGUCACCUUCGACGCCUCGACGGACACAUUUCGCGCAAAGAUGGGAUGAGGCAUGCGAAAAAAGAGCGGCUGCCCCCUUCUUCCUAAUCCUCAUCUUACCUUUGUUCACACAUACACAGACAC
rnacentral:misc_RNA from 1 species